rnacentral:tRNA from 1 species
GGGACCGAGGCCAAGCGGCGCGGCGCUGGUCUUGCAAACCAGAGACUGUGAGUCCGAAUCUCACCGGUUCCA